GUGGGGAAUCUUGCGCAAUGGGCGAAAGCCUGACGCAGCCAUGCCGCGUGAAUGAUGAAGGUCUUAGGAUUGUAAAAUUCUUUCACCGGGGACGAUAAUGACGGUACCCGGAGAAGAAGCCCCGGCUAACUUCGUGCCAGCAGCCGCGGUAAUACGAAGGGGGCUAGCGUUGCUCGGAAUUACUGGGCGUAAAGGGCGCGGAGGCGGACAGUUUAGUCAGAGGUGAAAGCCCAGGGCUCAACCUUGGAAUUGCCUUUGAUACUGGCUGUCUUGAGUACGGGAGAGGUGAGUGGAACUCCGAGUGUAGAGGUGAAAUUCGUAGAUAUUCGGAAGAGCACCAGUGGCGAAGGCGACUCACUGGCCCAAUACUGACGCUGAGGCGCGAAAGCGUGGGGAGCAAACAGGAUUAGAAACCCGGGUAGUCC
rnacentral:rRNA from 1 species